UGGGGCAUUAGCUCAGUUGGGAGAGCGUCGUGCUGGCAGCGCGAAGGUCACCGGUUCGAGCCCGGUAUGCUCCAUCC
rnacentral:tRNA from 3 species